GUUUUUUGUCUUUGUGUGUGUGCUGUGCAGCAUUACCGAAGUUUUGUACCCAUCACUAGCUGGAACAAUGGAGUGCAGGUACGGCUUGUUGGGGCCAGCCAGAGGUCUGAGUAAGGUGCAGUACCUGAGACGGGCAAGAGGACAGGAGAUGACUGCUAUGGAAAAUCAAAAUCCACACCAAAACUGCUCGAACAGAAAACUAAGGAGACUUAAUCUUCAAUUUUUUGUGAACACUGCCACCACGGAUCUCAUAGCUGCAUAUGUUAAUGUUUUCCACAGUGAUCUGGAACAGAGAAAGAACUGGAAAGCAGAGCCCAGUUUGUACAUGACACCAAGAGAAGUGAACUGGAUCCAGAAAAGCCCAAAGCACCUCAGAGAAACCCAAGCCAGGGAACUGGGUGAUGAGUUUGUAGCUGAAUAUCCCCUUCAACAAACAAAUAAUGCAGCACACAACUCUCGGUGAGUGCAAAGCCCAGCCACAAAGUGUCUGGCAGGCCCUACCAGAAUAGAGGUGAGCUAAUUUAAAAAGAAAAAGAGCUACUAUAACAAUUAGGACCAUGUGUCAGCUACGAACAGGGGGUGCUCUGUCAAAUUUUGGUAGUGCAUGAUAUCAGGGAGAAGACCUGGUUGUAGGAGAUGCUCUUGGAACAUGUGGUCUGACGGUUAAUUUUUAGAGGGAGGAUGGAGACAGGGAGGAGGCAGUACCUGUGCUCCGUUCGCCUGGGGGGGGAUAUUUCGUGCUACUCAGAUGAAGUUCUGGACACCUUGCAUGGAAGUAAAGAGGACUCUAUGGAAGAACAGUGUGACCCCAGGUGCUGUUCCCCGUCCUGCCUUCAGUAUCCUGGGCUGUGAUGUGUGUCCAACCAGACCCACAGCUCCUGAGGCCCCUGCGCCCAUACUGGGAGCUGCUCAAUAAAAUUUCAUGGGAUGGUGCCUCCUUGGAGGAGGCACGGAGCAAGCAGGGAGGCUGCAGAAACGGCUGGAUUUUGGAGCAGGGAAAGGGACUCCUGUGGGGUCCUGCACUGUGCCAGGUGGGGACUGGCACCACCUCCUCCCUGGGGAAAGCGGUUGGAAUGGUUUUGCACAUCCCUGCGAAACCAUUCUCACCUCCACCUGAUUUUUUUCUCAGCAGCUGCGCACCAAGGGCUGCUCAGAAGCAUCUACGGUGCAAGCCUUGGCAGAGAGCACCCUCCAGUGGGCACUGGGAGGCCAGUGGGAUCCCCACAGCUGCUGCUGGCUGCUCCCUGGGCUCAGGAGGGACCCAGGCAUCGGAGCAGCACGGCAGGACCCAGGGGAGGGCUCCGGAGAGCAGCUGAAGCAGAGCAGCUCUGUCCCAGAGCCUGCACCCAUCACAUCUUGUUCCAUUUACAUGUCACCCACAGGGAGCACAAGCUUGAGUCGCCUUCACGACCGCGGGCUCUGGCUGACUGUUCCCUUAGGAUUGGGGUCUUGGUGUAGUAAGAAGCAGUUCUGCAAAAAAUGCAAGUUUGGCUGUUGGACACUGAACACCACAGACAUCGGUUCCAGCUGGUGCAUCUAGGGUGGAUAAUUUGGUAAAGAGGUGACGCUCCUUACUCAUAUCACCAGAUGUUAAGAGAGAAGACAAGAGGCAAAGACAUUUACUCCCUUGCCCUUGCAGCUUGUGCACCUGGCAGCCAGACUCACGGGCUCCCGGCGGGGUUUGCAGGACCAGGCACCCCAAGCUGCCCCGCUGUCCGCCUCUCAGAGAAUGCAGCAAAACCCAAGGCUGGGUGGUUACACAACAGCUUGCAGGAGUCCCCAGCAAGUGAGAGAGCAGAGGAAAUCCCAACCAUACAAGGCAUCUGGCAGCCCUCAUUGCCAAACAUGUGUCCCCCCUUCCAGCUCAGCAUUACAUCAGCUGGGGGGUGAGGGCGGCUGGGUGAGGCGGCUCCUCUGCCGCGCCUGGGGCUCUGCGCUCCUCAACGUGCCUCCUGUUCCAUCCCCGCUGCUCCUCUCGGCUGGAAGCAAAGUGGAAGCCAAGCCAGCAGCUGUCCAAGCUAGUGCGCUUUGGCAACUAUUUCACAGCCUAAAAGCUCCUGCCUGUUGCUUGCUGCAGUGGGAGGCCCUGGGACAAGCAGGGGACAAGGAGAAAGGUCAAGUUCCCUUGCUAACCCCCUCCAGAAUCCUGGCAUCCCCUGGCCCCUCACCAGCCAGUGAGGCUGAUCCGAAGCCCUGCCACCCAGAAAAGCCGCACCUCGAGUCAUGACCUCCUGGGCACGGCACGUCCGCUUCCCCUGGGGAGACGCUCCACGGCAGGCGGAGCAGGGCUGGGGCAGGAGCAGCAUCCCCAGCAGCAUCUGGUUGCAAUCAGUGUUUGCAGAACUGGCUGAGCUCCUUCCCGGCCAGCAGCCAAGUGAGCUGUUUCCCACAGGAUCCCGAGCCCGUCACUCCGUGAGCCGGGGUUUCACACGCCAUUACAGCGAGUUGCAUCCCUGGAGCAGCGCCCGGAUCCCAGCUCUGCCCAUGCUGAGGCAUCUGGCCAUGGCAGAGGACUGAGACUCUGCACCUGAAAGGAAACAACCCAGCGGAGGCACGGGGCCAUGCUGCUCCCGCACUGCUUCCCCAUGGCAUUCCUGCCCUGGGGCUUGUCCGGCAGCUCCAGAGCUCUUGCAGGGCCAUGGCUGCUCAUUUCCAGCUCUCCUGCCCUGGCCAGCCCUGCUGUUAAUGUAAUGAUCAUCAUAAUAAUGUGGUGACUUCAUUAUUCAGCUUACUUCACAUUUAAAGGCUCAUUUUAGUUUUCUCAUGUUAAAUAUUUGACAGAAGACUUAAGAAGAACACUCUUGAUUUAGAAAAAAGCCAGUUUAAGUUGCUGAGCAACCCGAUGUUGUGAUUUUGUUAAUGCUCUUGCAUCGUGUGAUGGUUUUAUGAAUUCCGUGGCUCCUGGAGUCAGGUGAUUACCUGAGGAUCUCCGCUUGCACUCGAUGGCAGGAUGUUCAGACCUCUCCAGCUGCAGAGAAAGGCUUGAAAAUUGGGCCAAAGGCACGUAGAAAGCAAAAGAAAAAGCCCUUGCCACUUAUCAGGCUUUAUAUCCUCCUGCUCGCUAAGCCACCUUGAGACAUGGGAACAAGUCAAAGAAAACACUGCACACCUCAACGCUGCUACCAUAACAAACCUGCAUCACAAGGCAGAGCAAGAGGAAACUAUCUCAAAACCAGAAGAAAAUUGGAUAAAUUCAUGUUUCAGCAGGGUUCCCUGCCUUCACCCCCGGCUGCCAACAGGAUCACCUUCAGGUGUUAGGAAGGACAGUUUAAACCUGGCUCUCGAUUUUUGCUCUAGAAGGAAAUCUUGAAAUGAGCAGAACCCUGUUGGAAAAGCCAUAAAAAUAGACAUAUCGUC